rnacentral:rRNA from 1 species
CAGCCGCCGCGGUAAUACGUAGGUGGCAAGCGUUGUCCGGAAUUAUUGGGCGUAAAGGGCUCGCAGGCGGUUUCUUAAGUCUGAUGUGAAAGCCCCCGGCUCAACCGGGGAGGGUCAUUGGAAACUGGGAAACUUGAGUGCAGAAGAGGAGAGUGGAAUUCCACGUGUAGCGGUGAAAUGCGUAGAGAUGUGGAGGAACACCAGUGGCGAAGGCGACUCUCUGGUCUGUAACUGACGCUGAGGAGCGAAAGCGUGGGGGGCGAACAGGAUUAGAUACCCCUGUAGUCCCUGUCUCUUAUAC